UACGAAGGGGGCUAGCGUUGCUCGGAAUCACUGGGCGUAAAGGGUGCGUAGGCGGGUCUUUAAGUCAGGGGUGAAAUCCUGGAGCUCAACUCCAGAACUGCCUUUGAUACUGGAGAGCUUGAGUCCGGGAGAGGUGAGUGGAACUGCGAGUGUAGAGGUGAAAUUCGUAGAUAUUCGCAAGAACACCAGUGGCGAAGGCGGCUCACUGGCCCGGUACUGACGCUGAGGUGCGAAAGCGUGGGGAGCGAACAGG
rnacentral:rRNA from 1 species